CACAAUGCUCUGAUAGUCAUGGUGAUCACGAUGAUGUAUGAUGAUUCUCAGCACUAAACUAAAGGCCGGGUUUUUGCUUUUCUAAAUGCCUGUAAGACUUAUGUCUUCAUAAGCGAGGCACUGAUCACCCCUCUGCAUCCCAUCAUCUACCUUUAAUCAACUCGAGGCAUUUUACAGUGCAUUACGUCAAAUAUCCACGGACUAAUAAAGAGCGGGGCGGCCGGGAGGUUGCGGUGAAGGUCGACGCCUUUAUCAGCGGUCUGUCGGGCGUUAUUUAUUCGUUUGGUUCUGGAAGCAGCCGCUACACGCGGUGUGUCCGAGGCGAUGAGAGACACAAAUCAAGCCCGCCUCCUUGGCCACGGCAAAAACAGCUCCUGCAGCCAGGGAGAGUAUGCGGGGCUCUCACGUUGCAGGAGCUUAACGGCCCGUCAGGAGUUGCUGGCUCACUAUCAAGUCGCUGGUGGAGGACACAGCUGACGGGCCUUCCUGACUUGGCUUCUCGAGCUUCCUGUUCGACACACUCCUCCAAGUCACUGCAUCCCCACAGAUCAUCUUCCUAAAGAGAAACAGAAGUGUCUACUGGUGGAUCUAUUGGUCUACUGACAGAUUCCAGCCUCAAGAUAAAAACCAUGAUCUCAUUUCAAUGGAAUCACCAAACUUGGGACUGGCCUGCUUCCAGGAUGACAUAAUCAAGGGACAAACGGGGUCAACUGGUUCCCCUCGUCAGAGAGGCACGGUGCCGCUUUGUACGCCUUUAAAGCACUACUUUGAAAAGGCUUCCGGAUAUAAUUCCAUUGAAAUUACUAAAACCUUUGUGGUAAGUUUGUGGAUUUUAUUAUAGUAAAAAGCACAGGAACUCAUAAAAUACUUCCUCAUUUUGAA